AUGGCUGAGACACAUGCUUGUGUCUCUGCCUGUGUGGACAAAAAUAGGCUAUUUCCCAAGCCAAUUUGCCACCCAACUUUGCAUGUACCUACAUCAAACUCAAAUGGCACAAUUCAUGGCAUAAAAAUAGGCAUUCUAAUAACCUCAACCAACAUAAUUCGUAUCAUUUUAAUACCAACCAAUUCAAAUCACACCAAUACAACAAUAUAC
rnacentral:lncRNA from 1 species